rnacentral:lncRNA from 1 species
GGCAUCUUCUGGAGCAGGUGACUCACUCCAUAUCUCCUCCCCAUCUCCCCUGGACGGUCCCUGAACUUUUCAAGAGAAGUUUUGGAUUUUGGGGGUUUGGGGCAGUUGGUCGGUGGAGUUCAGUGAGAAAAUCAGACCCAGAGAAGGAACCAAAGCCCUUCCGGGCCCAGGCAGCUGGAGACAGGGAGGCUGGAGGUUUG